rnacentral:rRNA from 1 species
AUUGAACGCUGGCGGCAUGCCUUACACAUGCAAGUCGAACGGCAGCACGGGAGCAAUCCUGGUGGCGAGUGGCGAACGGGUGAGUAAAGUAUCGGAACGUGCCCAGUCGUGGGGGAUAACGUAGCGAAAGUUACGCUAAUACCGCAUACGAUCUCUGGAUGAAAGCGGGGGAUCGCAAGACCUCGCGCGAUUGGAGCGGCCGAUAUCAGAUUAGGUAGUUGGAGGGGUAAAGGCUCACCAAGCCGACGAUCUGUAGCUGGGCUGAGAGGACGACCAGCCAAACUGGGACUGAGACACGGCCCAGACUCCUACGGGAGGCAGCAGUGGGGAAUUUUGGACAAUGGGCGAAAGCCUGAUCCAGCCAUGCGGCGUGCAGGAUGAAGGCCUUCGGGUUGUAAACUGCUUUUGUACGGAACGAAAAGGUUUGGCCUAAUAAGCUGAGCUCAUGACGGUACCGUAAGAAUAAGCACCGGCUAACUACGUGCCAGCAGCCGCGGUAA